UUAAUAUAUACUUGACCAUUCGAGUCAAGGGAUGUGACUCUGUUAGUCAUACGUUAUAGCCUUGCAGUGGCUCACAUACAGAUAAACCGACCAAGCUCUCCGGCUGUUACACGUCUUGCUGCUGAAAGGGAACAAGAUAUACAGAAGAGAAAUAUGGGUCGAGGACUCGAGAGGGUGGAGGGUAGUGGGAUGAGAGGGAGAGAGAGAGAGAGAGAGAGAGAGUGAGUGAGAGUUAGAGGGACAGACUGCAUGACUGCAUGGUUGUCUUUAUUCUGAUACGAUGAUUACACGAAGAUAAGGCUAAGCAUUGUGAAAAUCGAGCAGAAAUACAUAAUAUUCGUUUGGAUCAGUGCACAAAUAUCUUUAAUGUUAAUUCCUGCAUGUGUGCUGAUCCCUUCGGUAAGACUGCACAAACAAGACCUGGAUUUACCACCGCAGCUGCAGUCCAAUGAAACAAACAACUUGUGAGGAUGAAAUCUAGAAAACUUCAACUAGAGACUUCCAUACGGCAC